rnacentral:rRNA from 1 species
UUGCAUCAGGGUUUAUUAAUUUAAAUUAAAAAUUUAUUUUUCUCGAAAUCAUAAGAUCAAAAAUAAAAUGUUUUUUAUUGUAUUAUAUAUAUUUAUAAUUUUAUUUUUGAGGUGACAUGCUUUUCAUUUAUGAUUAUAUCUAGUUUUUUAAUAAUUAAAUUUAAUUUAGUUUACACAAGUUUUUUUUAUCUAAAUUAUUAAAAGUUUGUGUAAUUAAAUCAGUUAGGGAUAAGCUUGAUUGAUUUUUUAAAAAGUCUAUUUUUUAAAUUUUUUAUAGGAUUGAUAAUUUCCAUUUUUAUUUUUUUAUAAUUACCUUUUUAUUUAAAAGAUUUUUUUAAUUUUAAUUUUUUAUUAAAUUUUUAAUAUUAAUUUAUUUUAUUUUUAAUAAUGAUAAAAUUAGUAAUUUUUAUAAUUUAAAUAUAGUAAUUCGGCAAAAUUAAUUUUCACCUGUUUAACAAAAACAUGGUCUUUUGUUUUUUAUUUAAGAUCAGGCCUGCCCAUUGAUUUUUAAGAAUUAAAAGGCUGCGGUAUUUUAACUGUACUAAGGUAGCAUAAUCAUUUGUCUUUUAAUUGAAGGCUAGUAUGAAUGGUUUAAUGAAAAAUUAACUUUCUUUAUUUAAUUUAAUUGAAUUUAAUUUUUAAGUUAAAAAGCUUAAAUUUUUAUAUAGGACGAGAAGACCCUUUAGAAGUUUACUUUUUUUAUUAAAAAAUUUUUUUUGUUUUUAAAUAUAUUCUUUUUGAAUAAAAAGUUUUGUUGGGGUGACAGUAAAAUUUAAUUAACUUUUAUUAUUUAUUUCAUUAAUAUAUGUUUUAUUGAUCCAAAAUUUUUGAUUAUAAGAUUAACUUACCUUAGGGAUAACAGCGUAAUUUUUUUGGAGAGUUCAUAUCGAUGAAAAAGUUUGCGACCUCGAUGUUGAAUUAAGAUUAGAUUUGGGUGUAGAAUUUCAAUUUUCUUGGUCUGUUCGACCAUUAAAUUCUUACAUGAUUUGAGUUCAGACCGGCGUGAGCCAGGUCGGUUUCUAUCCUUAAUUUAUAUAAUUUAGUACGAAAGGACCAUUUAUAUUAAUUAAAUUAUAAUUUUUUGAUUAAAAUUAAAAAAAAAAAAAAAA